GGUGCGGCGACUACCAUGCAGUCGAACGGUAACAGGAAGCAAGCUUGCUUUUUCGCUGACGAGUGGCGGACGGGUGAGUAAUGUCUGGGAAACUGCCUGAUGGAGGGGGAUAACUACUGGAAACGGUAGCUAAUACCGCAUAACGUCGCAAGACCAAAGAGGGGGACCUUCGGGCCUCUUGCCAUCGGAUGUGCCCAGAUGGGAUUAGCUAGUAGGUGGGGUAACGGCUCACCUAGGCGACGAUCCCUAGCUGGUCUGAGAGGAUGACCAGCCACACUGGAACUGAGACACGGUCCAGACUCCUACGGGAGGCAGCAGUGGGGAAUAUUGCACAAUGGGCGCAAGCCUGAUGCAGCCAUGCCGCGUGUAUGAAGAAGGCCUUCGGGUUGUAAAGUACUUUCAGCGGGGAGGAAGGGAGUAAAGUUAAUACCUUUGCUCAUUGACGUUACCCGCAGAAGAAGCACCGGCUAACUCCGUGCCAGCAGCCGCGGUAAUACGGAGGGUGCAAGCGUUAAUCGGAAUUACUGGGCGUAAAGCGCACGCAGGCGGUUUGUUAAGUCAGAUGUGAAAUCCCCGGGCUCAACCUGGGAACUGCAUCUG
rnacentral:rRNA from 1 species